CUUCUGGGAGAAUCCAUGCACAAUUCACAAGUGUCACUGGUCCUGCAGGAACAGCAGUUCCUGUAACCUUGAUCACCACUUUUCAUGCCCACCCACCGAAUAUAUUGUAGAGAUUAUAUUAUACUCCUAUGUAGAGGGGGUGUUGUGUUCAUCAUAGCUUUUACUUUAUUCUGGUUGUAUUAUAAAUUCUGUCUUUCACAGAUGCAAGCACAGAUGAAGAAGUGCACAGAAGUGCUGGAGUACAAUCCCUGUCUCAGCAAUUUUACAGACUCACAGUACUCUCAGAUGGGUGGUGAUGAGUAUGCUGGCAGAUGUGACCGUGGAGACCAAUGUUCUGGGCACCCUGGAGUCCCACAGGAGCAGAGGAAAAGGACCAAGCAUGAGAGAACAGGCUGUCUCUUGGGCUUUGGACUGUCUCAUGUCACAGGCUGCCCUAUGCCUGCAAUGAGCUGCGCACACCAGAAGAUGCUUAAAUAUCCACAUAUCUCAUACUGCAGGGUGAAAGUCAGCAGGUCAAUCUACCAGCAAAGAGGAGGGGAAAGAAGAAGAAUAUGUCUGAGCUGCUUUGAAACAAUGCCGUUAGGCUCAAGUUUUCUGUGCAAAGACCACAGCAAAGCACAACCACUGCAAAAGACCAGGGCAGGGAUGGGCCCAGGAGGAUCCACUCUGCUUUAA
rnacentral:lncRNA from 13 species